GGGGCCGUGACGAAUGGCUCAGAAAAGAGGGUGCUGUGAGAAACUGGAGCUGCUCUGGCGGAGUGGGUGAGAGACUGAGGAACCAGCAUGAAGUCCAGGGCUGGUGGCACCGUGAUGCACAGGGUGGAACCGCUGUGCUGCUCCCCCUGGGAAGGCCAAGAUGUACAUGGGUCAAUCAGAGCAAGGGCUGUAUGUGGGAUGGCUCUGCUCACUGUGACAUCCCCCCCCUGCUCCUGGUGCUGUGGGGCCCACUGACAGGGUUCUCAGCACCUGCAGGAGGACACGAGGAGAGAGAACAUCCCUGAUGUGCAUCCUGCACCUUGCUCGCCCAAGGCCAGGGCAGCUCCACCAGCAGCUCCUCGCUGACCCUUCCUGCACCCUGCUCCCUCAGCCCCAGCUCUCCAUCCUCAGCCCCAGGGAUGGAUCCUGCUGUCCUGCUGCCCACAGCAGGGUCCGGCCGGCAGCCUGCAGGGGACGGGCCUGGCAGGCUCCAGCAGCAGGAGGGCUCAUGCAUUACAAUCCAGUACAAUCUGUCCCCCUUCCCGCUGCCCAGCAGUAGGGGAGACGGUUACUGUUUAAUCCCAUUUGACAGCUCUUUCAUCAUCUGCCUGCCUCCCUCCAGCUUCCCCGUGGUUCCUCCAAGGCUCCUUUGUGGCCAUAAUCAAAGCCUGCCUGGAUCACUCAUGUACAAUGAAGCAGAGAGUUGAACCAGCCCUGCAGUGAAGCCGUCCUCUGCACUGAUGGCUGCAGCAGUGAUGUGCAAACCACCCAGGCCCAGUGUGCUGCAGGGAGAGACUGUGAGUGUGGCCCCUCUGCUGCUGCCCCCCAUGCGCUACUCUCUGUCCCCAUCACU
rnacentral:lncRNA from 1 species